GGCGUCCACACUUAUCGGUUUGUUUGAUGUUACAGCCAAGGGUCUGUAGCUCAGGUGGUUAGAGCACCGUCUUGAUAAGGCGGGGGUCGUAGGUUCAAGUCCUACCAGACCCACCAAGUUACGGGCGGCGGAGAGCGAUCUUGCCGUGAACUGGGGGAUUAGCUCAGCUGGGAGAGCACCUGCUUUGCAAGCAGGGGGUCGUCGGUUCGAUCCCGUCAUCCUCCACCAACACCUUGUGGUAGCCAAACGCAAGCAUCGAGAGAUCGGUGUUUGCGUUUGGCAUUGCCAAGACGAGUAGUAACUCGGCUGUUCUUUAACAAUAUGGAAUGUAGUAAAGGUGUCGCGGCGCGUUGAUGAGGCGCGCAAUUUAAACGCGACACUGGGUUGUGAUUGUAUCAACCAGUAUUACGAGUGAUCGAAAGACCGCUUGGAAUACGGCACAACGCGAGAACUCAGCCUAUAGCGAGACAUACUCGUUAUAGGGUCAAGCGAAUAAGUGCAUGUGGUGGAUGCCUUGGCGAUCACAGGCGAUGAAGGACGUAGUAGCUUGCGAAAAGCUGCGGGGAGCUGGCAAACGAGC
rnacentral:misc_RNA from 1 species